rnacentral:lncRNA from 1 species
UUUGCCAAGACAAGUUAACCAAUCUCUCCCAAUAAACGUGUGCAGAAGGAUCCUGUUGCAGCGUCGUUCUUCCUGGCCAGUCGAGCGUGCACAAGACUCAUCCCUUUCAUCCUCCAUGGUCUACAAGAGGAUGUCUCCCCACCAACCCUGCUAGGCCUCCCUACUUCCUGGGGCCUCAAGUAUCUUGAGGGAGUUCGUGGGGACUGUGUACCAAAUCCAGAUGUUUCAUCACUGAACUAUGCUUUCAGCAUGCAAGUACCUAUAUUGAAACAGCAAUUACUGAGCAAAAGAUGAGAUUCAAAUACCUUAAAACAUAGCCCUAUAUUUUCA